AGUGAACGCUGGCGGUAGGCCUAACACAUGCAAGUCGAACGGCAGCACAGUAAGAGCUUGCUCUUACGGGUGGCGAGUGGCGGACGGGUGAGGAAUACAUCGGAAUCUACUUUUUCGUGGGGGAUAACGUAGGGAAACUUACUCUAAUACCGCAUACGACCUACGGGUGAAAGCAUGGGAUCUUCGGACCUUGCGCGAUUGAAUGAGCCGAUGUCGGAUUAGCUAGUUGGCGGGGUAAAGGCCCACCAAGGCGACGAUCCGUAGCUCGUCUGAGAGGAUGAUCAGCCACACUGGAACUGAGACACGGUCCAGACUCCUACGGGAGGCAGCAGUGGGGAAUAUUGGACAAUGGGCGCAAGCCUGAUCCAGCCAUACCGCGUGGGUGAAGAAGGCCUUCGGGUUGUAAAGCCCUUUUGUUGGGAAAGAAAAGCAGCAGGUUAAUACCCCGCUGUUCUGACGGUACCCAAAGAAUAAGCACCGGCUAACUUCGUG
rnacentral:rRNA from 1 species